AUUGAACGCUGGCGGCAGGCCUAACACAUGCAAGUCGAACGAGUGGCGGACGGGUGAGUAAUGUCUGGGAAACUGCCUGAUGGAGGGGGAUAACUACUGGAAACGGUAGCUAAUAACGCAUACCAUCAGAUGUGCCCAGAUGGGUUUAGCUUGUUGGGGGGGUAACGGCUGACAAAGGCGACGAUCCCUAGCUGGUCUGCGCGGAUGACCAGCCACACUGGAAAGGAGACACGGUCCAGACGCCUACGGGAGGCAGAAGUGGGGAAUAUUGCACAAUGGGCACAAGCCUGAUGCAGCCAUGCCGCGUGUAUGAAGAAGGCCUUCGGGUUGUAAAGUACUUUCAGCGGGGAGGCGUUACCCGCAGAAGAAGCACCGGCUAACUCCGUGCCAGCAGCCGCGGUAAUUC
rnacentral:rRNA from 1 species